AUUGAACGCUGGCGGCAGGCCUAACACAUGCAAGUCGAACGAGUGGCGGACGGGUGAGUAAUGUAUGGGAAACUGCCUGAUGGAGGGGGAUAACUACUGGUAACGGUAGCUAAUACCGCAUACCAUCUGAUGUGCCCAGAUGGGAUUGGCUAGUGGGUGGGGUAAAGGCUCACCAAGGCGACGAUCCCUAGCUUGGAUGAGAGGAUGACCAGCCACACUGGAACUGAGACACGGUCCAGACUCCUACGGGAGGCAGUAGUGGGGAAUAUUGCACAAUGGGCGCAAGCCUGAUGCAGCCAUGCCGCGUGGAUGAAGAAGGCCGUCGGGUUGUAAAGUACUUUCAGCGGGGAGGCGUUACCCGAAGAAGAAGCACCGGCUAACUCCGUGCCAGCAGCCGCGGUAAUAC
rnacentral:rRNA from 1 species